AUGCUGGGGGUCGGCAGCGAACGCUUCGCUCCCGCCCGCCAGCAUUUUAAGAUCGCCCGGGGCAGCGGAGAAGUCUCCGCUGUCCCGGGAAGGCAGGCGGGGGGAGCAAAGACUUUUGCCCCCGCCUGCCUUCAGAAGAGGUCCAGGACCUCGUUCCGAUGCCCGGCGGCGGGGUGCGAGGUUCCCGCCCCACCGCCCGGCAUCGGGGCAUCGUUCCGAUGCCGGGCGGCGGGGGGAGAGGUUCCCGCCCCACCGCCCGGCAUCGGGGCAUCGUUCCGAUGCCCGGCGGCGGGGUGCGAGGUUCCCGCCCCACCGCCCCGCUUCGGAGCAGCGCUUCGAAGCGGGGCGGCUGGGGCAGGUGUUCCCGCCCCCCCGCCCCGCUUCGGAGCAGCGCUCCGAAGGGGGCAGCUGGGGCAGGUGUUCCUGCCCCCCCGCCCCGCUUCGGAGCUGCGUUCCGAAGCGGGGCGGCUGGGGCAGGUGUUCCCGCCCCCCCCGCCCCGCUUCGGAGCACCGGGAGAAGCGAUCUCCCCGCAGCCCCUUGCUUCAAAAGACGUCCGGGGGCAGCGGGGAAGAAGCGCUGCGCUUCCCGCUGCCCCCGGACCUCUUUUGAAGCAAGGGGCUGCGGGGAGAUCGCUUCUCCCCGCAAACCCUUGCUUCAAAAGAGGUCCGGGGGCAGCGCGAAGCGCUUCCCGCUGUCCCCGGACCUCUUUUGAAGCAAGGGGCGGUGGGGAGAAGCGAUCUCGGGCGCCGCGGCGCGCAGGCGCACUGCUCGCUCCUCUUUCCGCGCAGGCGCCUUCUCUCGCUCUUUCGCCUCCUUUUCUUUCUCUCUCGAUGGUCCGCCUACAAAGGAGCGAGGGAGGCGCCCGCCAUGUUUGGAUUUGCAUCCAGCAGGAGAUGCCGCCGCCGCCCCGCCUCUCCCGCCUCCCUCCCACGGCACACCAGGCAAGGUCUCACGGCACACAAGUGUGCUGCGGAACACCGGUUGGGAAACACUGUCAUAGACAACUAUUCUUCCUUGUGAGAAAAGGAUUGCGUUGGGGGCAAAGAAAAGAAUUGGGGUCCCAGGGAUACACACAAUUGCUUGAAGCCGGGAGAAUCUGUCCAAACAAAAAUGUUUUGAAGAUCAUAGACUAA
rnacentral:lncRNA from 1 species